rnacentral:rRNA from 1 species
AUUGAACGCUGGCGGCAUGCCUUACACAUGCAAGUCGAACGGUAACAGGUCUUCGGAUGCUGACGAGUGGCGAACGGGUGAGUAAUACAUCGGAACGUGCCCGAGAGUGGGGGAUAACGAGGCGGAAGCUUUGCUAAUACCGCAUACGAUCUCAGGAUGAAAGCAGGGGACCGCAAGGCCUUGCGCUCACGGAGCGGCCGAUGGCAGAUUAGGUAGUUGGUGGGAUAAAAGCUUACCAAGCCGACGAUCUGUAGCUGGUCUGAGAGGACGACCAGCCACACUGGGACUGAGACACGGCCCAGACUCCUACGGGAGGCAGCAGUGGGGAAUAUUGCACAAUGGGCGCAAGCCUGAUGCAGCAAUGCCGCGUGCAGGAAGAAGGCCUUCGGGUUGUAAACUGCUUUUGUACGGAGCGAAAAGGCUCUCUCUAAUACAGGGGGCUCAUGACGGUACCGUAAGAAUAAGCACCGGCUAACUACGUGCCAGCCGCCGCAGUAAUAC